GCUGGCGGCAGGCCUAACACAUGCAAGUCGAGCGGUAACAUUUCUAGCUUGCUAGAAGAUGACGAGCGGCGGACGGGUGAGUAACGCGUAGAAAUCUACCUAGUAGUGGGGGAUAGCCCAGAGAAAUUUGGAUUAAUACCGCAUACGCCCUACGGGGGAAAGCGGGGGAUCUUCGGACCUCGUGCUAUUAGAUGAGUCUGCGUCGGAUUAGCUUGUUGGUGAGGUAAUGGCUCACCAAGGCGACGAUCCGUAGCUGGUCUGAGAGGAUGACCAGCCACACUGGAACUGAGACACGGUCCAGACUCCUACGGGAGGCAGCAGUGGGGAAUAUUGCACAAUGGGCGCAAGCCUGAUGCAGCCAUGCCGCGUGUGUGAGGAAGGCCUUAGGGUUGUAAAGCACUUUCAGCAGUGAGGAAAGGGGUGUCGUUAAUAGCGCCAUCCUGUGACGUUAACUGCAGAAGAAGGACCGGCUAACUCCGUG
rnacentral:rRNA from 1 species